CGCCUCCUCUCCCUUCCCGGCUCUCUCCCGCCCGCCCUUUUCUCCCCGUCUCUUCCUUCCCUGCUUGCCUUUGCUUUUUGCUGCUUUCCCGCCUCCCUCCUUUUUCUCCGUCUUUCCGUCUCUGCCUUCGUUUCCCUCCCUCCCUUUUUCUUUCAUUUCUCUCUCCCUUUCUCCUUCCUUUCUUGCUACGUUUCUUCCCUCUUUUUCAUUUUUUUCCUUCCUUUUUCUGCUUUUCUCCCUCCGCCCUUCCUCUGUUUUUUCUUUGCUCCCUCCCUCUUUUUUCUCCCUCUUUCCGUCUCUCCUUCCCUUUUCCUCUUUCCUUCCCUUCCUCCCUUUUCUGCCUUUCCCUCCUUCCCUCUCUUUUCCUUUUCCUCUUUAUUUCCUGUCUCCCUUCCUCUCGUCCCUUUCUCCCCUCUCUCUUUUCCGUUUUUUUUUUCUUUUGAGACAGAGUUUCGCUCUUGUUGCCCAAGCUGGAGUGCAAGCUCCGCCUCCCGGGUUCAAGCGAUUCUCCUGCCUCAGCCUCCCAAGUAGCUGGAAUGACAGGCAUGCGCCACCGCGCCCAGCUAAUUUUAUAUUUUUAGUAGAGACGGGGUUUCGCCAUGUUGGUCAGGCUGGUCUCGAACUCCGGACUUCAGGGGAUCCGCCCACUUCGGCUUCCCAAAGUGCUGGGAUGACAGGUGUGUGAGCCACCACGCCUAGCUGUCUCUUUUCCAUUUUUUAAUUUUUUUUUCAUUUUUCCUCUCUCCCUUUGCCUCUCUUUUUCUUCUUCCUUUUAUUCUUUCCUGUCUUGUUCUUUCCUUCCUCUCUGUUUCUCCCUUUCUCCCUGUUUUCCUUUUUUUUUUUUGAGAUGGAGACUUGUUCUGUCACCGAGGCUGGAGUGCAGUGGCGUGAUCUCAGCUCACUGCAACCUCUGCCUCUCAGGUUCUAGAGAUUCUUGUGCCUCAACUUCCCAAGUAGCUGGGAUUACAGGUGCCAGCCACCCCACCCGGCUAUUUUUUUUUUUAAGGACAGAUGGCGUUUCACCAUGUUGGCCAGGCUGGUCUUGAACUCCUGACCUCAGGUGAUCCGCCCACCUCGGCCUCCCAAAGUGCUGGAUUACAGUCGUGCGCCACUGCGUCCCGCCUCCUUUUCUUUUUUCUUCUCUCCUCCGUCUUUUUCUAUCCUACCUCCCUGCCUCUUUCCUCUCUCCUCCCUCCUUUUCCUUUUUCUUCUCUCCUCCCUCCCUCCUGUUUUUCUCCAUCAUUCCCUCUCCCUUCCUUUCUUUUUCUCCCGUUCCCCGUUUGCCUCCCUCCCCUUUUUCUUUCCUGUCUCCCUGUCUCCUUUGCUCUUUUCCUCCCUUUCUCCCGUCCCUCCCUCCCCGCCUUCCUUUUCACUUCUUUCCCUUCCCAUUGCUUCCUUGCGUUUCCUGCCUUUCCCUGUCUCUCCCUUUCUUUCCUGCCUUUCCCUGCCUCUCUCUUUCCUGCCUUUCCCCAUCUCUCCCUUUCCUGCCUUUCCCUGUCUCUCCCUUUCUUUCCCUCUCCUCCCACUCUCCCUCCUUCCUCCCUUCUUUUCUUUCCUCUUCUUUCCCUGUGUCUUUCUUUUUUCUUUCCUUCUCUCUUCCUUUUCUCUCCCUGUGUCUUUCUCGCUCUUGUUUUUCCUUUCUCUCCUUUGUGUACUGAGAAAAUGACAGUCCCCGGCUGUGGGUGGGCAGGAGUGACCCGCCCCAGAGAGCGGGGUCACCCUGGGUGACUCCUGGGUGCAGCUGUGAGCCCUGCCUGAGGCUUUUCCUGACCUCUGGGGAGGGCGGCUCAGCCUGGGGCUGGAGGUUGGGGCCAGCUCUGGAGGCUGGAGUGGCUGCUGGGCGGCGGGACGGGUGUCUCAGAAGUCACUGAGGCAUGGAGUGCUGCACGUGGGACUUAGCCUUGGACACUAACUCCUUUGCCCCUCGUAUCUGGGAGGGAACAACACAGUUGCUAUGCCUGACUAGGGCAUGACCUGGGAGGCCUUUGGGGCCACACAGCCUCCUUGGGAAAGGAGGAUCAGGUGGGCCUCACACCCAGGAAUUGGAAGUGGGAGAGACAACAGCUGCUGGGUAGUGGGGGUAGAGCUGUGUCUCUCACUGCCCUGCCCCUCCAAGGACCAAGAAGAAAGGAAUGAGCCCCGAUCCGCCUGCCAGGUUUCUUCCGAGAUGGCCAGUGGUCACCUGAGAUGGAGCAGAGAGCACCUGUGGCGGGCAUCUUCUCUAGAAGCCGCCUGUGAGCCCUACGGAGGCCCUGGGCUUCGUGCCGUAAGACAGACGGUGUCCUGCAGGUACGUGGGGGAACCCUGUAGGCAGGGACUUUGCCUGCUUUCUCAGAACAGGACAGAGGAGUUUGGCUGGGGCAGCCCGAGGUGACCGGGAUGCUGUCGCCCCA
rnacentral:lncRNA from 1 species